ACGCAGAUCGUAGCCGCUCAAUCUUCCGGACAACCGCCGAGAAGGGCUCGUUUAUUUCCGUGGCUGUGCGUUUAAUUCAGCCCAAAUUCACAGAGAGGAGGUCAAUACACGCUGCGUCAUCGUGUGUUUGUACCGUCGCACGGGCAGGUAGCGUCACCGUUACCUGGCUAACGUCUAAACUUUCUCAGGAAGGCUUGUCGGGCCUCGCAGAUUAGCCAUGAGUUACGGCCGGCCUCCGCCCGACGUCGAGGGCAUGACUUCCCUCAAAGUGGACAACCUGACCUACCGGACGUCGCCCGAAACUCUCCGACGCGUUUUUGAGAAGUACGGCCGGGUAGGAGAUGUUUACAUCCCCCGAGAUCGCUACACGAAGGAGAGCCGGGGCUUCGCCUUUGUGCGCUUCCACGACAAGCGGGACGCCGAGGACGCGAUGGACGCCAUGGACGGCGCGCUGCUGGACGGGCGGGAGUUGCGGGUCCAGAUGGCCCGGUACGGGAGACCCCCCGAUUCCCAUCACGGUGGAGGAGGGCGGCGGGGAGCCCCUGCCCGGAGGUACGGGGGCCACGGCCGCCGAAGCAGAAGCUAUUCCCCCAGCCCGAGACGCCGGAGACGCAGCCGCUCCCGCAGCAGGAGCCGCUCCCGAUCCAGAAGCCGCUCCCGCUACAGCAGAUCGAGAUCACGGUCCUACUCCCGCUCCAAGUCCCACUCCCCGCAGAGGAAGAAGACCAAGGCCAAGUCUCGGUCCAGGUCCAGAUCCAGGUCCCGGUCCCGGUCCAGGUCCAAGUCCAAGUCCAGGUCCAGAAGCCAAACGCCCUCAUCGAAAAGAGGCUCCAGGUCUAGAUCGAAAAGCCAGCCCAAGUCAGCGGGGGAAAAUGGAGGCGAUUCUCCUUGAUGCAUCAUCAACAGACUGCGGCAUCCUGUUUGCAAAAGUGGAGUUUGAGCUGAGCUGAGGCAGUAUGAGCAGGUAGAAGGGGUGUGUUGCUGAGCUGCCCGCGGGCCGCCUGCUGCUGGUGAGGGUUGCUAUGCAGCGGGUUGGAGUUUGCAGUCAGUGUUGGGGUUUGGUGUUGAGGUACGUCUGUCUGCCCGCCAUGGGACGUUACAGUCCUCCAGGUCGUGUCCCCAGCCAGGGGACGAUGGUACCUGAGGGGAACCAAGGUGAAGACUUGAAGGCUCAAAUCCAAGACUGGAUCCCACCCAAGCAACAGUUUCCUGAUGGAAAAGGUUACUAUUGUGUCUUCCAUGCCUUGGUCUCUUUUGUAUUUCUCUGGCCCCCAAAAGGCUUAACUUUCAUUUCAUCAAUGUCCUGUGAUUUUUUUUUUUUUUUUUUUACCCAUUUCCUUUUCAUAACGUGCUCAUGAUUUUGAUUUCAUGACCUACAGCUAGACUGCAGAGUUCCUGAUCUGUAUGGUUUAGCCAGAGGACCGUAUCCUGUGUUCUGGCCUGUUUUUUUUUGUAGUGGUUUAAAGGAUAAUACCGGUGUUUGUCUUCCAAGUCAGGGCCGCUGGUUUUAAGUGAACCUCUCCUCUGCGUUCUUGUGCUUCUGUCAGCAUAGUUGGAAAUACCAGCACUCAUUUUCAGAAGAAGCCAUUUGCUUCCAGCGAUUGGCCUCACAAGUCUGAUAUAUCGUUGACUGCAAACUUUGGCCCAAAUGUGGAAUUUCACAGAUUUAAGCUGCCAUUUAAAACUUGGAGGUUAUAAUCUGCAUGUUUCUCUUUCAAAAUGGGUCUGGAUCCGCUGAAUUCUGCUCCCGCUUCCUGACUCAAAUCAUUAUUUUGCUUAGAAAAAGCUAACACAAUCCAACAUACCAAUAAAAGUAUGAAGAGGAGGGUGGCUGCUCAUCAUGCGACUCACCACUUAAUGUUAACCACUGGCAAUUUGUUAUUUAAAAUCUGUCACGUUCAGGUAAAAAAAAUGUGGAUUUUUUCAUCUACUAAUGUGAAAAUUUCACAUUAUUUAGAAGGAUUUGGGAAAACCCCGUCAAUUUGUCACAUAGAUGAUCUUUUUUUUUUUUUUUAAUCCUGAAGUCUUGAAAAUAAACAGUCAAAUGAUGACAUGAUUUCUCAGCCCUGAGAAACAGCCUCCACAGGAAAAAAGAAGUCCAUGCCUUUUUUUUGGUUUGGUCCAUUAUUAUUUAUCAUUUACAUCCAUGUCGUCUUAUUUAGGGUUUGUUACAUUUAACUUUUUAAAAACGAUAAAGAUCAAAUGGUGAAUUUGGCAUGCAUUGUUAAAUGACCCUGGUAAAUGUAAACUAGAUGAAGACAGACACACCGGUAUUCUCCUUUCCUUUUUUUAUUUUUUUAAGUUAAAAAAACAGGUCAGUGAAAGGUCAUCACAUAUUUUAAGGCGUAACAUGUUUCUACAUGUUUGUUUAAUUUGAUGAAACAUGGUACUCAUUUUCUAGCCUCUAGACUUUGUUUUUAGGUCUCUUUCUUUCUCUCCCUUUAAUUGCGAUUCUAAUCCUCCUUGUAUUUUUUUGUGCACUAGGCGCAGUUGUGUAGCAGUUGAGUUUUGCUGGUUAGCUGUUAAGGUGGCGUGUUGCUCUGCUGAGUGCUUGGAUGUUUCCAGUAUUCUCCAGAAUGCUCCUGUGACUGCCCAUGGUAUGGUCGCUGCAAUUUCUCCCUUUUGCAGAACUGAUUUUCCUUUUUUUCCAUCUGGUAAUUUGUAUUGUCAAAGCAUGGUAUAUUGUUUCCCUUUUUCUUAAUGUUUCUACCAGAAUUAAUGCACCCUGUCCUGCUCAGAUUGCAUUCUUUUCUCCUCUUGAUAGUGUGUUUACACCAAUGUGAAUUUCAUUAAAGAGUUGGUGUUUUGUCUAAAA